UUAUCUUGAUUAUACUUUGAGCAUCCGAAACCAAUCCUUUCUUACAAAGAGUGUUAAUAAAUAUGCUGAAGGUAAAAACAUCAGGUGAUAUGUUUUGCCCUACCAUUUUUUUCAACAAGGCCAAAGCUUGAUUCUGCCUUCCUAAAUUGCAAAGACCAUGAAUUAUGCAGUUGUAGGUUAUAAUAUUAGGUAAAAUGCCUUUAUCCCUCAUUUGAGAUAGGAGGUUUACUGCCUCAGCAACUAGCUUAUCCUUGCAAAGGGCAUCGAUGAUUGCAGUGUAAGUUACAACAUCUGGCUCCUCUCUCAAUCAUUUCUUUUAGCAACCAAAUAGCCACAUUUGUUUUUCCAAAUUUACAAAGACCACUUACUAUCACAGUGUAAGUACAAACAUUAGGUUGAUAACCUCCUGCAACCAUGUCAUCGAAAAAAUCUACUGCUUCAUAGAUUUGACCCUUCACACUAAGCCCAUUGAUUAAGGUAGUAAAUGUCACAAUGUCAGGCUCCAAUCCAAAUUUGAGGACUUUCCCCAAAAUAGAGAAGCCAAAAUUCACAACGUGCAAGUGACAGAAGCAAUUAAUCAAGAUAUUUAGAGAAUAAAUAUCAUGUGGGAUCCCUAGCAAUUCAAUAGUUUUGGACAAGGAAACGGCAGUGUGAUGUUGUUUCAUUUUCACAAGAGCAGAUAAAAAUCGAUUAAAUUCAACUCUAGAAGGCAGAGGAUGCAUAUGA
rnacentral:misc_RNA from 1 species